rnacentral:rRNA from 1 species
CCUACGGGUGGCAGCAGUGAGGAAUAUUGGUCAAUGGGCUUACGCCUGAACCAGCCAAGUCGCGUGAGGGAAGACUGCCCUAUGGGUUGUAAACCUCUUUUGUCAGGGAGCAACGCCGGCUACGUGUAGCCGGACUGAGAGUAACUGAAGAAAAAGCAUCGGCUAACUCCGUGCCCGCGGCCGCGGUAUUACGAGGGAUGCGAGCGUUAUCCGGAUUGAUGGGGUUUACGGGGUGCGUAGGCGGAAUGCCACGUCCGCGGUAACGUCGCGGGGCUCAACCUCGCUCUGCCGUUGGAACUGGGUUGCUUGAGUGGACGAGGAGCAGGCGGAAUGCGUGGUGUAGCGGUGAAAUGCAUAGAUAUCAGGAGGAACUCCGGUGGCGAAGGCAGCAUGCUGG